UACGAAGGGGGCUAGCGUUGCUCGGAAUCACUGGGCGUAAAGCGCACGUAGGCGGCUUUCUAAGUCAGGGGUGAAAUCCUGGAGCUCAACUCCAGAACUGCCUUUGAUACUGGAGAGCUUGAGUCCGGAAGAGGUGAGUGGAACUCCGAGUGUAGAGGUGAAAAUUCGUAGAUAUUUCGGAAAGAAACACCCAAGUGGGCGAAAGG
rnacentral:rRNA from 1 species